rnacentral:rRNA from 1 species
UACGAAGGGGGCUAGCGUUGCUCGGAAUCACUGGGCGUAAAGGGUGCGUAGGCGGGUCUUUAAGUCAGGGGUGAAAUCCUGGAGCUCAACUCCAGAACUGCCUUUGAUACUGAAGAUCUUGAGUUCGGGAGAGGUGAGUGGAACUGCGAGUGUAGAGGUGAAAUUCGUAGAUAUUGGGAAGAACACCGGUGGCGAAGGCGGCUCACUGGCUCGUUACUGACGCUCAGGCACGACAGCGUGGGGAUCAAACAGG